AGGGUAAGGGGCUUCCAACCACACCUGGGCCACAGGCCCCUUCAUAGACCAAGAGUCCUUGUAGCGGUCCCAGCGUCUUAGCUGUGGGUGUGGGGGCUCCUGAGUGAAACUCGGGAGGUCCCGGAAGGAGGGGGCGAGGCCCUCAGCAGCUGUGGAGUCUGUGCCCUGAGGCCCCACACUGGGAACUGGGGACGAGGAGACGGGGACGCGGCCCGGGUCUUGACCUCCUCAGGCUCACCAGACACUGCGUUCAGGCCUCCGGGACGGUCCUGGUGGGGCUCGGCCCCCCUCGUCCUGCGCCUCCUCUGGGCCCGCGGGUCCCCAGCUCCCCCAGCCCCGCCGCGGGCCGCACCUCUCUGGACGGCGCUGUCAGGAGUAGGAGUUCAGCCCCAGCGCAUCCGCGCCAGGACCCGGGCUCUGUGGCCACUGAGUGCAGAACACGCCGAGCUUCGGAGGUCUGGGAGUUCCAAGUGGAAUUUGAAUUUUUAAUCUAAUUGUCUGAUUCGUGAACUCGGAAGCUGACGUCACGCCCAGACGUCCCAAGGUAUGAGCUGUAGAUACGCAUGUGAGCGCUGGUGGGAGACGCCAGGCUGGGAUUUCCGCUCGAUCUGGGAAUGAGCAAUGCAACCUAAUGACACCCGGAGCUCCUGAAUCACCUGGGGAAGAUGAAGAGAGACACUCUCUGGUGGGAACGUCUCCUAGAAACAAGGCCUAAGAUGGGGCGACCACAGCCCCACAGCUGUGUCCAGAUGCAGGGAGCACUCGCCUGUGCUGUGAGGGACGGCCGGUGUCAUCGUUGGAGCUUCCUAAGACUCCCAGAGGCUGAUGCACCUCCCAGACCCGCCUCCGCCCGGCUCCCUGGGCCCUGCUCCAGGGGCUUCAUUGCUCCCUGCCCCGGGUCACCCCUCGGCUCACCGUCUCUCAGGUGUGGAAUAUCCUGCUCCAAUCAAAGCCAUGUCACCUGCGUUGUCCAGUGAAACGUCAGCGGACAGGCGCUGCCCGGGCUCCAGGGAGCUCCUCACUGAGGCUCACUCCCUGUGCCUCUGCCAUCAGCACAGGGGGACAUGCCUGGCUGCCUGUGGGACCAGGGAGGACGCGCGGUGCGGGAGCAGAGCCAGCCACACUGCCGCUGCUGCACUGUUCAUCUGAGUGGCGCAAGUUCCAACGUCGCACGGUGGGACUCUGGACAGGGUCCUCCCUCUCCAUCUUCCCCUCGCUGGGACCCAGCACGGCACAGGAGGGGCGGCCAACACCAUUUAGACAUCAGAACUGUCCAGAGUGUUCUGCCCUCUGUCUUAAGUCACGACCCCGGAUUCCCCAGGCAGCCACACACAGCGGUCUACACCGGGAGAAAGUCGCCGUGAGAACCGUGGCACCGCAGGAGGCUGUGCGUGUUUGCUUUUGUUGAUCUGUUUAACUGCAGCCCGAUUUAUGUUUCUGGAUCCUGGAAUUGAGUUGACACUAUCGGUAGUAUGAAAGUGACAGACACCAGGAUGAAGUCACUCUUGUCAGACCCAGAGGAAACAGGGUCAGGAGGCCUGGGGGAGGGGAGGACGCUGCUGCGUGUCUGAGAUCAGAGCUGUUUCCAAGGACUUUCUGAAGCCCCACAAGAAGGCCCUCUGCGUCCGUCGCGCAUCUCCGGCCUGGCGGGGCUUGCGUGGCUCACACGUACACGCAUUUCUACGGCCAGGGUUAUCUAUCACCAGACAUUCUUGAGGACUGCAGUGAUUCUGAUCAGAUGCUCUCAAAAGACCACUUCCCAGUGACAACACCUCCUUCAAGAAACCGACAGCAUUCUGGCUGUGGGUCCCUGGAACCAGUGAACUGUGUCAGAGCAGCUCAGGCGAACUUCUCCCCUGUGCCAAUGAAAGCUUUUUCUUACCCUACCUCACUGGAGGCA
rnacentral:lncRNA from 1 species